CAGCAUAUCAAGUUGGGUAGGACCAAGCUCCUCCCCCUGUACUAAGAGGCUGGGCAAGGCAACCCAGUAUGAGAAAUAGGUUCCUGAAAGCCAGCCAAAGCGUUAGGGACAGGCUCUGCUUCCACCCCCAGGAGUCUCCCAAGUAGAUCAGGCUAGACAACGGUCACAUGUAUAUAGAGGGCCCAGGUCAGUCUCAUGCAGGCUCCCCAGCUGUCAGUCCAGAGUCUGUGAGUUCCUAUGAGUCCAGAUUAGUAGUUUCUAAGAGUUCCCUUGUGAUGACCUUGACCCCCUGACUCAUACAAUCCUUCCUCCUGCUCUUCAACAGGAUUCCUGAACUCGGCCCAGGGCUUGGCUGUGGAUCUCUGAAUCUGUUUCCAUCAGUCGCUGGAUGAAGGCUCUUUGAUGUUUUCAGAUAGGAAGCUGAAGCUAGGAGGUGCUGAAUGAGGCGAUGGAACUCCCGUAAUAAUACAAAUCACAGAAGCCCUGCCCACUCUGUCAGUAACAAUCUGUCAAGGACAGCAGACCAAAGACUGCAAACAACAGGAAUUUAUUUACUCAGGCUCCUCAAGGUGAAGUAGGAUCUGUUGUGGGAACCCACUCUGCUGAUGGCUUUGGGGGUGCAAACCCUAGGGCGUGGCUUUCCCUCUGCCGAAGUGGCCCUUUAAGAGCUGAGGGAGUCCAGGGGUGAGCUCUCCCAUGGGUGGUGAAGCACUGUGUGAUUGUCCCCAGCUUUCCAGGGACUCUGCAUCUGGAUUUACCAUAUCCUGUGUUCGUGAGUGUACUUCUCCAUUUCAUUCUUAAUAAAACCCUGACACCCA